rnacentral:rRNA from 1 species
AUUGAACGCUGGCGGCAGGCCUAACACAUGCAAGUCGAGCGGCAGCGGGAAAGUAGCUUGCUACUUUUGCCGGCGAGCGGCGGACGGGUGAGUAAUGCCUGGGAAAUUGCCCAGUCGAGGGGGAUAACAGUUGGAAACGACUGCUAAUACCGCAUACGCCCUACGGGGGAAAGCAGGGGACCUUCGGGCCUUGCGCGAUUGGAUAUGCCCAGGUGGGAUUAGCUAGUUGGUGAGGUAAUGGCUCACCAAGGCGACGAUCCCUAGCUGGUCUGAGAGGAUGAUCAGUCACACUGGAACUGAGACACGGUCCAGACUCCUACGGGGAGGCAGCAGUGGGGAAUAUUGGACAAUGGGCGAAAGCCUGAUCCAGCCAUGCCGCGUGUGUGAAGAAGGUCUUCGGAUCGUAAAGCACUUUAAGUUGGGAGGUAAGGGCAGGUAACCUAAUACGUUAAUUGUUUUUGACGUUACGACAGAUAAGCA